rnacentral:rRNA from 1 species
GACGAACGCUGGCGGCGUGCUUAACACAUGCAAGUCGAACGGAAAGGCCCUGCUUUUGUGGGGUUCUCGAGUGGCGAACGGGUGAGUAACACGUGAGUAACCUGCCCUUGACUUUGGGAUAACUUCAGGAAACUGGGGCUAAUACCGGAUAGGAGCUCCUGCUGCAUGGUGGGGGUUGGAAAGUUUCGGCGGUUGGGGAUGGACUGGCGGCUUAUCAGCUUGUUGGUGGGGUAGUGGCUUACCAAGGCUUUGACGGGUAGCCGGCAUGAGAGGGUGAACGGCCACAUUGGGACUGAGAUACGGCCCAGACUCCUACGGGAGGCAGCAGUGGGGAAUAUUGCACAAUGGGCGGAAGCCUGAUGCAGCAACGCCGCGUGCGGGAUGACGGCCUUCGGGUUGUAAACCGCUUUCGCCUGUGACGAGGCGUGAGUGACGGUAAUGGGUAAAGAAGCACCGGCUAACUACGUG